GUGAGACGAGGAAAAGGCAUUCACGUAGUCUGUUGUGACUUAGUAGGCUACAGAAAUUAUAGGCUCCUGUUAUAUAAAAGAUUUUCAAUGUAAUGGCUCAAUGUUUAAAUGAUUUCAACAAUGUGGAUGAGGUUGUUAUAGUUCGAUGACCAUAUGUAGGCUAUUCAUUUGGGCCAGAGUAGGAUACAACGUUACAGAUGAAGAGAGAGAGAGAGAGAGAGAG